rnacentral:rRNA from 1 species
AUGGCCGAUUUGACAGGAAGGAGCAUGGAACCACCAGCUGCUGCAUGGCCACCCUGCGGCUUUCCGGCCAACUGGUCCUUGGAACCCGUGUGGGCUCCUGGCUUCCCCGUCGAGUCUGCAAUGUGGUUCCAGACACAUGCUUCUAGCAGCUCUAGCGAAGAGCAGCUGCAACAGCUUCGGUAUGGGGCAGCGACAACACCAAAUUUAGCUAUCCAGGAAGAAGAAGAAGCACAAUACAAGAUGGAAAUGGAGAUCCACGACCCGAUCCAAGUAUUCGCGGAAGCAGCACACGAGUUCAAGAUCAACAUCAACAUGAGGGACAUGAAGAUCCACAGGUACCCGGCAAGCAUUCAACGUCUCGAAGCCUGCUACACCACCCCGACGACGGUGGCCAUCGGGCCUUACCACCACGGGGAGGACCGCCUCAGGCCGGCGGAGAAGGUGAAGCACGUGGCCGCCUACCACUGCAUCAUGGAGUCGGGCCGCUCCGUCCAGGAGAUGUACGCCACGGUGGCCUCGGUCGCCGGCGAGGCCCGAGGGCUCUACGACAAGGACAUGGUGGCAGGUAUCGGCGACGAUGACUUCCUGCCCAUGAUGUUCUACGAUGCGUGCUUCCUCGUGCAAUACAUGCUCACGUGCACCAGUGGUGGCUCCGAGAUGGAUCCGUCGCUGCGCAGCUACUUCGACGGAAACGAUAGCAACAUCUUCCACGACAUCCUGCUGCUCGAGAACCAACUCCCAUGGCGGGUGGUCAAGACCGUCAUGGGGUUCAGGCCGGUUCUCUUGGAGGAGUUCAUCACUUACUUGAAAGAUGGCCUGCAAGACCGCAAAUUAACCGAGAAGAAGUCUCCGGCAUUGGACGAUAGCUACGAGCCGCCGCACCUCCUCGGCCUUCUUCGAUUCUACAUUGUGGGGAGAAGCAACAUCAAGCGCACCCGCCUACCCCAAACCGAGUCGAUGUCGUUCUCCGUGAGCGCCAUCGAACUCGCGGAAAUCGGCAUCACGCUGACAGCCAACAAGACAAGCGAGCUCAUAGAGAUGGGCGUCAAGAACAAGCGGGUCCUCUUCGCCGAGAUCUCCCUGCCAUCAUUGUCCCUGGACCAUGCGCGCGCGAGCUGGCUCAUCAACAUGGCGGCUUUCGAGGUAUGCACCACCCCAAACUUCCAAGCGGUCGAAGACGAGGAGUCCGUUGUCAGCUCGUACCUCCUCCUCUUUGCCAUGUUGGUGGACCGGGAGGAGGACGUGCACGAGCUGCGAAGGAAGCGUCUCCUGCAGGGAGGAGGAGGGCUCACCAACAAGGAGGCGCUCGACUUCUUCACCGGGCUUCAGGGUCUACCGCUCGGAUCCAGCUAUAUCCGCAUCAUGGAAGAGAUUGAGAAUUACCGGGUCAAGAGGCGAACGCGGACCAAGUUGCACGCCUUCGUUUACAAGAACUUGAGGAUCAUCGUUACUGUCUUCUCUGCUGUUGGUUUUCUCGCCGGUGUCUUUGGCUCGCUUAUGUCUCUCAGGAGACGAUCUUAG